UGGGGGAAAAAAUUUAUUGCUAUUAGAUGAGCCUAUAUUAGAUUAGCUAGUUGGUGGGGUAAUAGCCUACCAAGGUAAUGAUCUAUAGCUGAUCUGAGAGGAUGAUCAGCCACACUGGAACUGAGAUACGGUCCAGACUCCUACGGGAGGCAGCAGUGGGGAAUAUUGGACAAUGGGCGAAAGCCUGAUCCAGCCAUGCCGCAUGAGUGAAGAAGGCCUUUGGGUUGUAAAGCUCUUUUAGUGAGGAAGAUAAUGACGGUACUCACAGAAGAAGUCCUGGCUAACUCCGUGCCAGCAGCCGCGGUAAUACGGAGAGGGCUAGCGUUAUUCGGAAUUAUUGGGCGUAAAGGGCGCGUAGGCUGGUUAAUAAGUUAAAAGUGAAAUCCCGAGGCUUAACCUUGGAAUUGCUUUUAAAACUAUUAAUCUAGAGAUUGAAAGAGGAUAGAGGAAUUCCUGAUGUAGAGGUAAAAUUCGUAAAUAUUAGGAGGAACACCGGUGGCGAAGGCGUCUAUCUGGUUCAAAUCUGACGCUGAAGCGCGAAGGCGUGGGGAGCAAACAGGAUUAGAUACCCUGGUAGUCCACGCUGUAAACGAUGAAUGUUAAAUAUGGGGAGUUUACUUUCUGUUUUUACAGCUA
rnacentral:rRNA from 1 species